GGGGCAGUAGCUCAGUUGGGAGAGCGCUACCUUCGCACGGUAGAGGUCGCCGGUUCGAAUCCGGUCUGCUCCA
rnacentral:tRNA from 1 species